UACGAAGGGGGCUAGCGUUGUUCGGAAUUACUGGGCGUAAGCGCACGUAGGCGGAUUGUUAAGUCAGGGGUGAAAUCCUGGAGCUCAACUCCAGAACUGCCCUUGAUACUGGCAAUCUUGAGUCCGGAAGAGGUAAGUGGAACUGCGAGUGUAGAGGUGAAAUUCGUAGAUAUUCGCAAGAACACCAGUGGCGAAGGCGGCUUACUGGUCCGGUACUGACGCUGAGGUGCGAAAGCGUGGGGAGCAAACAGGG
rnacentral:rRNA from 1 species